rnacentral:rRNA from 1 species
CAGGGGACGUGGAUAACCUCGGGAAACUGAGGAUAAACCGCGAUAGGUCAUAGUAUCUGGAAUGAUUUAUGGCUCAAAUCUACAUGGCCUCUGGAUUGGACUGCGGCCGAUCAGGCUGUUGGUGAGGUAAUGGCCCACCAAACCUAAAACCGGUACGGGCUCUGAGAGGAGAAGCCCGGAGAUGGGCACUGAGACAAGGGCCCAGGCCCUAUGGGGCGCAGCAGGCGCGAAAACUCUGCAAUAAGCGAAAGCUUGACAGGGUUAUUCUGAGUGAUUUCCGCUAAGGAAAUCUUUUGGCACCUCUAAAAAUGGUGCAGAAUAAGGGGUGGGCAAGCCUGGUGUCAGCCGCCGCGGUAAUACCAGCACCCCGAGUGGUCGGGACGAUUAUUGGGCCUAAAGCAUCCGUAGCCGGUUCUACAAGUCUUCCGUUAAAUCCACCUGCUCAACAGAUGGGCUGCGGAGGAUACUAUAGAGCUAGGAGGCGGGAGAGGCAAGCGGUACUUAGUGGGUAGGGGUAAAAUCCGUUGAUCCAUUGAAGACCACCAGUGGCGAAGGCGGCUUGCCAGAACGCACUCGACGGUGAGGGAUGAAAGCUGGGGGAGCAAACCGGAUUAGAUACCCGGGUAGUCCCAGCUGUAAACGAUGCAGACUCGGUGAUGAAUAGGCUUCGUGCCUAUUCAGUGCCGCAGGGAAGCCGUUAAGUCUGCCGCCUGGGGAGUACGGUCGCAAGAUGAA